AAUGAACGUUGGCGGCGUGGAUUAGGCAUGCAAGUCGAACGUGUACCCCGCAAGGGGGAAAGUGGCGAAAGGGAGAGGAACACGUGGAUACCUACCCUCGGGUCUUGGAUAGCCGCGGGAAACUGCGGGUAAUACGAAAUAAUGUCUCCGGACCAAAGGUGUGAUUCCGUCCGAGGACGGGUCCGCGUCCUAUUAGCUAGUUGGCGGGGUAAUGGCCCACCAAGGCAAUGAUGGGUACGAGGCAUGAGAGUGUGCCCUCGCUCACUGGGACUGAGAUACUGCCCAGACACCUACGGGUGGCUGCAGUCGAGAAUCUUCCGCAAUGGGCGCAAGCCUGACGGAGCGACGCCGCGUGUGGGAUGAAGGCCUUCGGGUUGUAAACCACUGUCGUAGAGGAGGAAUGGCCAUAGGGUUCUCUCUAUGGUUUGACCUAUUCUAGGAGGAAGGAUGGGCUAAGUCCGUGCCAGCCGCCGCGGUAACAC
rnacentral:rRNA from 1 species